UACGAAGGGGGCUAGCGUUGCUCGGAAUCACUGGGCGUAAAGCGCACGUAGGCGGAUUUUUAAGUCAGGGGUGAAAUCCUGGAGCUCAACUCCAGAACUGCCUUUGAUACUGAGGAUCUUGAGUUCGGGAGAGGUGAGUGGAACUGGCGAGUGUAGAGGUGAAAUUCGUAGAUAUUCGCAAGAACACCAGUGGCGAAGGCGGCUCAC
rnacentral:rRNA from 1 species